GAACCGUGCACGGAUCUAAUUUGCAUGUUGAAUUUAUGUUGUUAGGUAUAUUUGCUUGAUUAAGUGGUACUAUUAUGAGGACCCAAGUGCCAUGUUUAACUGAAAAUCAAGAUGCUGAAAAUUAACAAAGGAAUAAGGAAUAAAGAACAGUGUGGCAGCUUUCCGGCUUGCCAGAGUGAUAAGAAGAAGCCGAAUCCUGGAGAAGCUUGUAAAGUGUGGCCCUGGGUGAAGAUUCACAAAAGACAAUACCUACUGAGAAUAUGGCCCUUGAAUCUGCAGCAUAACCUGUUGAUUGUGGCUAACAGGAGACUAUCAUCCACUGCUGAACGGAUGCUAAGGAAAAUGAUAUUCCUUAGCGAAAGGAAUCGAGAGCCCUGA
rnacentral:lncRNA from 1 species